AAAAUUAAUAUAAAUGUCAAAUUUUAAAAAUAACAAUUAAUGUCUAUAUACUAAGAUCAAAUAUUUUUCUUAUCUUAGAAUAAAUAUAUCUUAAAACAAAAAAAUCUAAAUAAGAAAACUUUUGUAAAUUAAUAUCUCUAUAAAUUAAUAAAUUUUUAAAGUUCCAACAUUAUUAAUUUAUAGAGGUUCUACUGUAUGUAACUUCUGGAUCGUUUUUGCAUGUUGUGAACUUUAAAGAGAAAAAAUGCACAUGUCGGCGUUUCGAACACGAGAAAUUACCAUACGUCCAUGCAAUCGCAGCUGUCGAGUACAAGAAUGUUUGUCGCAUACUGUGCAGUCCUUACUAUAACAAUGGCUAUUUGGUUAAUGCAUACGCUGAGCCGAUCAUUCUGAUUGAUUCGUCGCUCAAAAUUCUAAAUAACGUGGCUACCCAAUCAUGUUUGCCCCUGUUUGUUCGUCAACAACCGGUAAAACCUAAUAAAAAUAGGAUGAGAUAUGUAUUGGAAGUUUCCCUAGAGAACAAAUGUCCUAGGAAAGAACACAUAUGAUCUCGUUGUAAACAGGGUGGGCAUAAUGCCAAAACUUGUCGGAUGUAAAGGUGCUGUAUGGAUGAUAGUAUUUUUUUAAUGAAAUCUGCUUAUAUGGAUGUUAGUGUUUUCAAUGUAUGAAUUCUUCUUACGGCUGAGUUAAUGAAAUCGGCUCAGUGUAUGAGGUUGACUAAAUGUAUUACAACUCCGUUAAUUCCGACGGGCAAUCAAAUUAUUUACUAAAACUAAAAUUAGUUAAUAUUAAUGGAAUGUAUAUAUUUAAUAAUUAUAAUUAUUUUAUUUAAUUUUUUUUUGUUUCAUUUAAGUAAUGAGCACAUGGGUUAAAAUAACAAUAUUAAAUAACUUAACAAUUAUUUAUAUGUGGAUUUUAAGUUAUCCUUGUCUUGUACACAUAAAGAUGUGAUGUUUUUGUCCCUCUGUUCUUUAGCCUUUUUCUGGAUCUACUGGUUUGAAUUCUCUUGUUUUCCUGUGAUCUGCAGGUUGAAGUGGAAAGAAUCAAAAUUGAGAAGCGAGAGAACUCAGGCAGCAGUAGUCUUAUUAAUUUGAGAUGGCAAGAGGAACUAGACUUUCAUAUCAGCAUCAAACAUGUAUGCACUACUGCUUGUGUAUAUUGUGAGUUCAUAUCGUUGCUAAGCUAGAUCUCUUAGUUGAUGAAAUUUCAUCGGUUUAUAAAUCAUUAGCUUUGUCUCAGGUUUAAUACACAUAGCCUUGUACUUGUGGAAAAUCUUUUGGGAUGGAUUAUUUGAGUUUUGGAGGCUGAGAUUCCAUCUUUUGUUUUACUGUGUUUUAGCUUUGCGGCACUAAGAAAAAUCCAGGAGAUUGGUGUUUAGUGGUUAAUCAGAUAGUGGAAUCUUCUUGUUUAGUGGUUUUGUAGUCUUGUUGUUGCUGAAUAGUAUUGAGCUUAUAAGCUGAAAAUGAUGAACCUGCAGUGUCUGUAAAAGGGACGAUACUGAAAACUUGACAUGCAGUUUAUAAUAGAAACUUGGAAUCUAGUGUGAUGUUCUGUAACCAUUAUGCGAUUUGCUCAGUGGUUUGGUGAAGUCUAUUUUCCAGUUGACUGACCAAGACCUCUUUAUAUGGCAGGCUAUUUCUCUUCUUGGGUUGUCUUGAUAGUAAUGGGGCAGUGAGUGAAGAGGGUGAAAAUUCAAGAUGAUUAUUUGUUGGAGACAUUUUGGUGUAGCAAUAAAAAAUUAUUUUAACAUAGCAAUGUUUGGAAGUUAUUCAAAUUUGAGUUUCUACUUUGAGUUUUAUUAGAAGUUAUAGUUGUAGUUAAAUUUUAAUGAAAAUUUUGAAUAAAUUUUUUAUAAAUUUAUAAAUGUCAAAAUGCUAAUAUUAAAAUAAUUUCAAUGUAAAUAUAUUUUAGACUAUAUAAUAAAAUUAGUAUAGCUAAAACUGAUAUCAAACAUAUGAUUAAAUCAAAACAUGAGUAUAUUUAUAAUUUGUUUACUAAACUCAUCUGAAUAAGAAUAGAAAUAAAGAAACAAACAUAAAUCCAUGUAGAUGGCUCAUCUUGAUUGCUCAUAUGGAUGGAGAAACGAACAGCCUAUUAAAAUCUGGAUGGAUCAUCUGGAUGGAUAAUAUAGAUUGAACAGCUGGAUGGAGAUGACAGAUGGUGAAACGAACAACCCCUAUAUCUUCAUGAUAUUAAAUGGUCAACCUACUAACUCGGACUAUUUUCAUUUUGUUCUUAUCAUCAUUGACAUUUGUUGAUAAAAUAGAAAGUAUACUAUACUAUUCUAUAAUAAGCUACACCAAAUUGGUACUUCUUAUCUAUAUAUAAAAUAGAAAGAUAUUUUCUAUUUAGUUAAAUAUACUACUGUGAAAAAUUCUACUUGAAUUAGACUUUAGUCAACAGACUAUAUAUAAUACAUUUAGUCAACGUCAUACACUGAAUUACCACUUCCAUGAUUCAAGAAACAUUAUAUAAGCAUCUGAACAAUCAUGUAAAAAUUAUGCAAACUUUAUCAAAAGGAAUUUACAAACUAUAAACUGGUAAGCAAGACAUGGCAGAAUUAAAAAUGACAAUAUUCAUCGUUUUCAUCCUUUGCUUCUCAGGCACAUUGUUGGUGAACGUCUCUGGACAAGGCAAAGGACUAUCAUGUUUGAAAUCAAAAGACUGUGAGUUGCUGUGUUUUAUAGGAACAGGGAGAGGAGGUGGGGAGUGUGUGCUCGGAAAGUGCAGUUGUUUGGAGCAAAAAACCGAGACUAAGCUGGCCGGAUGCAAAACGGAUCAUGGUUGUCCUCCUUCUAGUGCAUGCCCUAAAAAUGACCAUUAUGUUUGUGUUCUUGGAGAGUGUGUUUGUUUACCAGCAUAAUUUGAUCAGUCAAAAUAAUACACCGCUCCUCCUACCAGAUAUAUGUAUCCUUAUGAUGAAUUUUUGUAUCCACCAUGUUGCUACCAUCAUAAGUACUUUAAAUAAUAACAUUAGCAAGAUCACAAUUUCACAGUUA